rnacentral:rRNA from 1 species
UACGUAGGGUGCAGGCGUUAAUCGGAAUUACUGGGCGUAAAGCGUGCGCAGGCGGUUUGCUAAGACAGGUGUGAAAUCCCCGGGCUUAACCUGGGAACUGCGCUUGUAACUGGCAAGCUAGAGUGUGGCAGAGGGGGGUGGAAUUCCAGGUGUAGCGGUGAAAUGCGUAGAUAUCUGGAGGAACACCGGUGGCGAAGGCGGCAUCCUGGACCGACACUGACGCUGAGGAGCGAAAGCCAGGGGAGCAAACAGG